GAUGAACGCUGGCGGCGUGCCUAAUACAUGCAAGUCGAGCGAACAGACGAGGAGCUUGCUCCCCUGACGUUAGCGGCUGACGGGUGAGUAACACGUGGAUAACCUUCCUAUAAGACUGGGAUAACUACGGGAAACCGGUGCUAAUACUGGAUAAUACAUUCAACCGCAUGGUUCAAUAGUGAAAGACGGUUUGGCUGUCACUUAUAGACGAAGCCGCGUCGGAUUAGCUAGUUGGUAAGGUAACGGCUCACCAAGGCAACGAUGCGUAGCCGACCUGAGAGGAUGAUCGGCCACACUGGAACUGAGACACGGUCCAGACUCCUACGGGAGGCAGCAGUGGGGAAUCUUCCGCAAUGGGCGAAAGCCUGACGGAGCCACACCGCGUGAGUGAUGAAGGUCUUCGGGUCGUAAAGCUCUGUUGUUAGGGAAGAACAACUGUGUAAGUAACUAUGCACGUCUUGACGGUACCUAAUCAGAAAGCCCCGGCUAACUACGUG
rnacentral:rRNA from 1 species